rnacentral:misc_RNA from 1 species
UUUUUCUUUAUUUUCUUUACUCUACUCAAACUUGUUUAUCAGUUUAAGAAGGAUCAUUUUUUUCAAUUCUUCAUCAUCAAUCUCUAUACAUGGCUACUAAUACUGUUUCAUCAGAUCAUCCAACUACUGUCUCUGAGCAAGCUGAGAAGGAAGUGCUGCCUGAAGAGGUUAAGACUAUGGAAGGAGAGAGUGUUCCCCUUACCAAGGAGAAUGAAGAUUCCCCAAGUCCAGUGGUUUCUUCUACUGAACCAGUGGUAAAAGUAGAGGACACAAAAUGCGAAUCAACAGUAAUUGAAGAGCCAGACAAGAAUGAGGAGGAAAAGCCAAAAUCAGUGGAAGUUGACGACGGGGAGAAGCCAAAUGCAGAGGAAUCAUCCCAAGUGAUAACUGAAGAAGUGAAGAAAGAUGAGAAGCCAAUAACGGACGACGCUGCCCCAGCAAUUGUUGAUGAGGUAGAGAAGUCAACAGUUGAGACACCACCUUCAGCCAUCAUAGAGGAACUAAAGAGCAAUGAUGAAGAAGAGAAGCAAAAAGUUGAUGAACCACAGGUCCUGGAAAUUGAAGAGGUAAAGAAAGCUGAGGAGGAGCAGAAGCCUGUUGCUGAUGAACCAGUUCCUACUGUAGUUGAAGAAGUAAAGAAAGCUGAUGAGGAAGAGAAGCUGACAACAGAAGAACCACCAGUAACUAUCCUUGAAGAGGUGAAGAAGAGUGAUGACGAAGAGAAGCCUAAAGCUGAUGAACCAAUUCCAACAAUAGUUGAAGUAAAGACAGCUGAUGAGCAGCCAAGGAUAGAGGAACCACCACCAACCAUAAUCGCAGAGGUAAAGAAAAGUGAUGAGAAAGAGAAGCCUGAAGCUGAUGAACCAGCUCCAACAAUAGCGGAAGAAGUAAAGAAAGCUGAUGAAGAAGAGAAGCCAACAAUUGAGGAACCUCCAGUAACUAUAAUUGAAGAUGUAAAGAAAAGCGUCGAGGAAGAAAAGCCAAUAGCUGAUGAACCACUGCCCCCAACAGUUGAAGAGGAGAAAGAAGUUGAUGAACCACCUUCUCCACUAGCCACAACUCACGAUGCAGAGAAGCCAAAAGCUGAGGAAUUACCAAGCAUACCUGCAACUUCAGCAGAAUCAGAAGAAAAGACAACAGACAAGGAAAUUGAGCCUCCUACUGUCAAAGAAGUUAAGAAACAAGAUGAGACACCUGCAUUGAAUGUCACUACCAAAGAUAUUCCUGAAUUAACCAAGGAAUCUGCCCCUGAGCCAGAAGCUCAGAUUAUUCCUGAUCAAGUUGCUGAUAUUACCAAAAGUGAACCAGAGGUCCAAACAGAGGCUGGAAAUGUUGAAACUCUAGACAAAGAAUCCAAAAUAGAGCCUGAGAAGCAGCCAGCUACAGUUGACAUUGUGGAAACUUCAAUUGAGGCUGUUGAGGAAAACAAGGAGCAAAUAGACUUAGAGGCCAGUGAACAGCAAAAAGUUUUAGAGGCAGAAGUUCCAAAAGCAGAACCUAAGGAAGAAGCUUCAGAGCCAGCUCCCAUUGUAGAGGAAAAGCCAACUGAAGCUACUCAAAAGAUUGAGCAAGAAGCUGCCGAGGCUGUUACCGGAAAUGAAGAAGCGAUUCCAGUGGAAAAGGUAAAAGAGUCCCCAAAAGGGGAACCUGUUGUUCCAGAGAGCUCAAAACAAGUAACCUCAACUACUUUAGAAACUCUCAUGCAGAAAAUGGACGAGGAAAGUCCUACAGAAGUUGCUGCAGACAAUGUGGAAUUGGUUCCAGAGGCUAAAGAUGCUGAAGCACCACCAAAAGAAGAGGUGGAAAAUGUCGAAAGAGAAAUAAAGGAUGUGAAAACUGUUGGUCAAGAUGAGAAGGUGGAGAAGAGUGUUGCAACUGAAGAAUUAGCUGAACCAGAAGCAAAGGGAGUUGAAACAUCUGAAGUUGCUGAAAAGGCUCCAGAAGUGGUGAUUGGUUCUAGAGACACUGAACAAAUUGCGGAAAAUGGGAGCUCAAAGGAGGUCACAAUUCCUACAAUUGAAGGCAAUGAAGCUGCAGAAGUUGAGAAGAAAGUGGAUGAGAAUGCUACUGCUGAACCAUCAGUUGAAGACGCUCAGAAGUUGGAGACAGAGACUAAAGAUCUGAAGACUGCUGAAGGUGAGAAAGAAGUUGAGGAGACAGCAAAAACAGAAGCUCCUAAGGAUGGUGAAGACAAGAAAACUACAGAAGAAGUACCAGUAAAGACAAAGCAGUCAAAUAACCUUAUGUCCAAGGUGAAGCAGUCUCUUGUGAAGGCUAAGAAAGCAAUCAUUGGAAAGUCUCCCGGCUCUAAAUCUGAUACAAAGAAUGAAGUUAAAACCAAAUAAGAUAAAGGGAAGAAACAUUACAAUGAUCAUAAGUGAGUUGUUUUAUUAGUUGUGUGAUCUUUAUUUUUUCUUUUCCUAAACCUUUUUUUCAUUUUUUUGGGUCAGAUAUAUUGGUUGCUCUGUUCGGGAUGUCGUAUGAUUCUAGUGUUUGUCAUAGGUAUUGUAUAGUUGUGCUUUCUAGUCAAUAUUUGACUUUUGAUUCAGUUUGUG